rnacentral:rRNA from 1 species
AUACAGAGGAUGCGAGCGUUAAUCGGAAUUACUGGGCGUAAAGCGCGCGUAGGCGGCUUAUUAAGUCAGAUGUGAAAUCCCCGGGCUCAACCUGGGAACUGCAUCUGAUACUGGUAAGCUAGAGUUUUGGAGAGGGAAGUAGAAUUUCAGGUGUAGCGGUGAAAUGCAUAGAGAUCUGAAGGAAUACCAGUGGCGAAGGCGACUUCCUGGCCAAAAACUGACGCUGAGGUGCGAAAGCGUGGGUAGCAAACGGGAUUAGAAACCCUAGUAGUCC